rnacentral:rRNA from 1 species
CACGAAGGGGGCUAGCGUUGCUCGGAAUUACUGGGCGUAAAGCGUGCGCAGGCGGCUUUGCAAGACAGAUGUGAAAUCCCCGGGCUCAACCUGGGAACUGCAUUUGUGACUGCAAGGCUAGAGUACGGCAGAGGGGGAUGGAAUUCCGCGUGUAGCAGUGAAAUGCGUAGAUAUGCGGAGGAACACCAAUGGCGAAGGCAAUCCCCUGGGCCUGUACUGACGCUCAUGCACGAAAGCGUGGGGAGCAAACAGG